CAGAGCUGGGAGCAGGAGGAGCAGAAGGAGCCUGAAGGAUCAUCGGCAGAGACUGUGGAGCUCCUUGGCCCUGCAUCACCGUUGGUGGACCUGUGGGCAGGUGGCCACCGUUGCCACCAACCCUUCCUGGGUUUCCAUGGACUUCUCUACAGGGCUGGCGCUCGCCUGGGCUCUCUGCCUCCUUCCAGGUUUCAGUGACGCCUUCAACAUCGACACCAAAAGGCCGCGGAUCAUACCGGGCUCCAAGGAGGCGUAUUUCGGCUACACGGUCCAGCAGCACGAAAUCAAUGGGAAGAAAUGGUAAAGGAAUCGUCCCUUGUUCCUCGACUGAAUGACA
rnacentral:lncRNA from 11 species